AAUUACCGUAUUUUUCGCACGAUAGGACGCACCGGUCCAUAGGACGCAUCAAGUUUUUUUGGGGGGAAAUAAAGGAAAAAAAAUUAUUUCCCCCCCAGGCGCUUGUGGGGCCGGCAGCGGGGAGAAGCGCUCUUCUCCCCGCAGUCCGCCUUCAGAUCAGGUCCGGGGACAGCGGGAAGACGCGCUGCGUCUCCCAGCUGUCCCCGGAGCUUGGGGGCAGGCAGCGGGGAGAAGCGCUCUUCUCCCUGCCGCCCGCCUUGAGAUCAGGUCCGCGGACAGCGGGAGACGCGCUGCGUCUCCCAGCUGUCCCCGGAGCUUGGGGCAGGCAGCGGGGAAGCGCUCUUCUCCCCGCCGCCCGCCUUCACAUCAGGUCCGGGGACAGCGGGAAGACGCGCUGCGUCUCCCUGCUGUCCCCGGAGCUUGGGGGCAGGCAGCGGGGAGAAGCGCUCUUCUCCCCGCCGCCCGCCUUGAUAUCAAGUCCGGGGACAGCGGGAAGACGCGCUGCGUCUCCCUGCUGUCCCCGGAGCUUGGGGCAGGCAGCGGGAGAAGCGCUCUUCUCCCGCCGCCCGCCUUCACAUCAGGUCCGGGGACAGCGGGAAGACGCGCUGUGUCUCCCUGCUGUCCCCGGAGCUUGGGGCAGGCAGCGGGGAGAGCGCUCUUCUCCCGCCGCCCGCCUUGAUAUCAAGUCCGGGGACAGCGGGAAGACGCGCUGCGUCUCCCUGCUGUCCCCGGAGCUGGGGGCAGGCAGCGGGGAGAAGCGCUCUUCUCCCCGCCGCCCGCCUCACAUCAGGUCCGGGGACAGCGGGAAGACGCGCUGCGUCUCCCUGCUGUCCCCGGAGCUGGGGGCAGGCAGCGGGAGAAGCGCUCUUCUCCCGCCGCCUGCCUUGAUAUCAAGUCCGGGGACAGCGGGAAGACGCGCUGCGUCUCCCUGCUGUCCCCGGAGCUUGGGGGCAGGCAGCGGGAGAAGCGCUCUUCUCCCCGCCGCCCGCCUUCACAUCAGGUCCGGGGACAGCGGGAAGACGCGCUGCGUCUCCCUGCUGUCCCCGGAGCUUGGGGCAGGCAGCGGGGAGAGCGCUGCUCUCCCCGCCGCCCGCCUUGAUAUCAAGUCCGGGGACAGCUGGUAGACGCCCUGCGUCUCCCUGCUGUCCCCGGAGCUUGGGGGCAGGCAGCGGGGAGAAGCGCUCUUCUCCCCGCCGCCCGCCUUCAGAUCAGGUCCGGGGACAGCAGGAAGACGCGCUGCGUCUCCCAGCUGUCCCCGGAGCUUGCGGGGCCGGCGGCGGGGUCUCCCCGCCGUCAGC